rnacentral:rRNA from 1 species
CGGCGGACGGGUGAGUAACACGUGGGUAACCUACCUAUAAGACUGGGACAACUUCGGGAAACCGGAGCUAAUACCGGAUAAUAUGUUGAACCGCAUGGUUCAAUAGUGAAAGAUGGUUUUGCUAUCACUUAUAGAUGGACCUGCGCCGUAUUAGCUAGUUGGUGAGGUAACGGCUCACCAAGGCAACGAUACGUAGCCGACCUGAGAGGGUGAUCGGCCACACUGGAACUGAGACACGGUCCAGACUCCUACGGGAGGCAGCAGUC